rnacentral:rRNA from 1 species
UGGGGAAUAUUGCACAAUGGGGGAAACCCUGAUGCAGCAACGCCGCGUGCGGGAUGACGGCCUUCGGGUUGUAAACCGCUUUCAGCCAUGACGAAGCUUUUGUGACGGUAGUGGCAGAAGAAGCACCCGCUAACUACGUGCCAGCAGCCGCGGUGAUACGUAGGGUGCGAGCGUUGUCCGGAAUUAUUGGGCGUAAAGAGCUUGUAGGCGGUUUGUCGCGUCGAAAGUGUAAACUCAGUGCUUAACGCUGAGCCUGCUUUCGAUACGGGCUGACUAGAGGAAGGUAGGGGAGAAUGGAAUUCCCGGUGGAGCGGUGGAAUGCGCAGAUAUCGGGAGGAACACCAGUGGCGAAGGCGGUUCUCUGGACCUUUCCUGACGCUGAGAAGCGAAAGCGUGGGUAGCAAACAGG